CUACACAUGCAGUCGAGCGAUGAAACCCCUUCGGGGGUGGAUUAGCGGCGGACGGGUGAGUAACACGUGGGUAACCUGCCUCAAAGUGGGGGAUAGCCUUCCGAAAGGAAGAUUAAUACCGCAUAAAGCCAAGUUUCACAUGGAAUUUGGAUGAAAGGAGUAAUUCGCUUUGAGAUGGACCCGCGGCGCAUUAGUUAGUUGGUGGGGUAAUGGCCUACCAAGACAGCGAUGCGUAGCCGACCUGAGAGGGUGAUCGGCCACAUUGGAACUGAGAUACGGUCCAGACUCCUACGGGAGGCAGCAGUGGGGAAUAUUGCACAAUGGGCGAAAGCCUGAUGCAGCAACGCCGCGUGAGUGAUGAAGGUCUUCGGAUUGUAAAGCUCUGUCUUUUGGGACGAUAAUGACGGUACCAAAGGAGGAAGCGGCUAACUACGUGCCAGCAGCCGCGGUAAUACGUAGGUGGCGAGCGUUGUCCGGAUUUACUGGGCGUAAAGGGUGCGUAGGCGGAUGUUUAAGUGAGAUGUGAAAUACCCGGGCUUAACUUGGGUGCUGCAUUUCAAACUGGAUAUCUAGAGUGCAGGAGAGGAGAAUGGAAUUCCUAGUGUAGCGGUGAAAUGCGUAGAGAUUAGGAAGAACACCAGUGGCGAAGGCGAUUCUCUGGACUGUAACUGACGCUGAGGCACGAAAGCGUGGGUAGCAAACAGGAUUAGAUACCCUGGUAGUCCACGCCGUAAACGAUG
rnacentral:rRNA from 1 species